GACCCGGUGGCGAAGUGGUUUCGCAUCCGCUUAUCUUGAAUGAAGAAAUUUUACCGUUUUCGUGGAAGACCCCGUUCGAUUCGGGUCUGGGUCA